rnacentral:misc_RNA from 1 species
GUGAAUCAUCAAAUUUUUGAACGCAAAUUGCACUCUCUUCGGAGAGUAUGCCUGUUUGAGGGUCAGCCUAAAAAAAAUUCAAAAUAGUGGCUGUUUCGCGGUGACUUUCGUCGGAAUUUGGGUAAUUUUAAACCUUUGGGUUUUAAGCCGAUUUAAAUUUUUUUUAUGAUUUCAAUAAAGUUUUCAAGAUUUAAUUCUUAUACGUUUAAGGUAUAGAUCUUUAUUCGACAUGUCAG